CCCCAUGAAUCCAAGGAAUUAUCUUUCUGGAGACCUGCUGUAUUUCUUGUGAGGUCAUAAAAGACACUGUGGCUUCCAUCUUGGUGUCUCUCACUCUCUCUGUCUCUCCUGGAUCACUCAGAAGAGAGCCAGCUUCCAUAUAUUAAAGACAUUCAGGCAGCCUUGUGAAGAAGUCCACAGGGUGUGAAGUGAGUUUUCUAGCCGACAGCCAAGAAAGAAUUGAAGACUCUUCCAAUAGCCAUGUAAAUGAGCCUUCUUGGAAAUGGCUCCUCCAACCAGUCAAGACUUCUAAGUAUGCAGCCCCUGCCAAAAUCAUCACUGCAAACUCAAGAGAGCCCUGAGCCAUAACCAUCCAGCUAAGUGCUUCUGAAUUUCAGAUCCUCAGAAACCGUUAUAACCUGCUGCAGUCCAGCCACUACCAUGGGAAUCUGACCUAAGCCGUAGAAGAGAAAAACCACGUGAAGGAAAGAAUCUAGGUUUGCAAAUGACCCGGUUUAACAACCCUUUGGGUGACUUGGAAUGAUCACUUUAUCUUUUUCUUAUUGAUUUUGAGUUGUUUUAAAGUCUUGAUUCUAUUUACUUUUCAGUUGUAUGUGUUACAAGCAUUUUUCUAGAUUAUAGCCUGUUUUUCCAUUCUCUUUAUGAUAGCUUAUGAAUACAAGUUCUUAAUUUAAAAAUGAAAGAAAUAAUCUUUUCUUUCAUGGAUAGAGUUCUUUCCAUUUUAAUUAAGAAAUAUCUUCUAAUAAUUUGUUGAUUC